rnacentral:tRNA from 1 species
GCUUAGCUCAGUCGGUAGAGCACUGGAAUCAUAAUCCAUUGGUCGCUGGUUCAAGUCCGGCAGCA